rnacentral:rRNA from 1 species
GAUGAACGCUGGCGGCGUGCCUAAUACAUGCAAGUCGAGCGAACACACAAUGAGCUUGCUCCUCUGCCGUUGGCGGCUGGCGGGUGAGUGACACGUGCAUAACCUACCUAUUAGACGGGGGGAACUUCGUGAAACCGGUGCUAAUACCGCAUAAUACAUUGUACCGCAGUGUUCAAUAGUUCAAGACGCUUUUCCUGACUCUUAUAGAUGAAGCCGCGCCGGAUUAGCUAGUUGGUAAGGUAACGGCCUACCAAGGCAACGAUGCGUAGCCGACCUGAGAGGAUGAUCAGCCACACUGGAACUGAGACACGGUCCAGACUCCUACGGGAGGCAGCAGUGGGGAAUCUUCCGCAAUGGGCGCAAGCCUGAUCGAGCCAUGCCGCGUGAGUGAAGAAGGUCUUCGGAUCGUAAAACUCUGUUAUUAGGGAAGAACAAAAGUGUAAGUAACUACGGCCGUCCUGACGGUACCCAAUCAGAAAGCCACGGCUAACUUCGUG